GCGCCACAGGCUCAAAAAAUUCAGCACCAGCUCUACCAGGGCCCCGGGAACUUUUGCUCUGCGGCCGCGUGAGCUGGACCGCGAACCGAGCGCAGAGCUGGGCCGCGGGGGCUGUGACGAAUCGGCGACGGGUCGGUAUUGGCGGAGUGAGCGGGACGCAGCGCGCCGUGGCGACUCUGCGGACCCGGCGGGUGCGCGCUUCCCUGUGACCGCUGCCCGUCCGGAGGUCCCCGCCCGCCCCGACACCCCAUCCCGUCCCCCGAGGACCGCUGCCCGCCGCGCCACUAGGAUGGAUCCUGAGGUCUCUGCCGUCCGGCUCACCGUCUGGGAGGCUGUUCACAUCCUUUCAUCUUCUGAGGAUGGGGGCCGCAUCUUCUGUACCCUGGGGUCCCUGAAGCGCUAUCUUGGUGCAACGGAGAAUCCAGCCCUCCCUGAGGAGCAGGAGGAGUUUGUCAGGAUCCACUUUUCCACCUUUCUCAGAUGUCUGGUCAGCAAGCUGAGCCCCGACUGGCUGGAGCUGCUGCCUGACGGCCAAAUGGAGGAGCUGUGGGCCAGCUUCUUCCUGGAGGGCCCGGCUGACCAAGCCUUCCUGGUGCUGAUGGAGUCCAUCGAGGGUGCUGCCAGCCCCAGCUUCUGUCUGAUGAAGAUGGCGCAACUGCUGGCCAGGUUCCUGAGCGUGGGCAGGAUGGCCGCUGUGAUGGAGGAGCAGUGUCGGCAGCAGGCAGGGCCAGCCUUCCCCCUGCUCCAGGAGACACUUCUCACCAAGGUGGUGGGCCUGCCCGAUCGCCUGGGCAACCGUCUGCAGCGGGAGAACCUGGCCACAUUCCUCCCUCAGAACUACUUCCCUCUGCUGGGCGAGGAAGUCCUGCGGGUGCUGCAGGUGGUCGUGGACUCUCUCCGAGGUGGCCUGGACUGCUCCGUCUCCUUCCUGUCUCAGGUCCUGGGGAAAGCCUGCGUCCACGGGAGACAGAAGGAGGUCCUGGGCGUGCUUGUGCCCCGGCUGACGGUGCUCACCCAGGGCAGCUGCCUCUGGCAGCGGGUCUGCUGGUGCCUGGUGGAGCGCGUGCCCGACUGGGCCAUGGAGGCCGUGCUGAAGGGGUUCGUGGAGGCUGCCCCAGGGCCUGAAGUCCUCUCACGGCUGCUGGGGAAUGUGGUGACAAAGAGUAAGAAGGCCCAGUUUGUAAUGACCCGGAAGCUGCUAUUCCUACAGUACAGCUGCACGAUGCCCAUGCUGCAGAGCCUGCUGGGCUACCUGGCCAUGGACAGCCAGCGGCGCUCACUCCUCAUGCAGGUGCUGAAGGAGCUCCUGGAGACGUGGGGCAGCAGCAGUGCCAUCCGCCAUGUGCCCCUGGUGCAGCAGCGCUACGUCAGCAAGGCCAUCCUCAUCUGCCUGGCACACCUGGGGGAGGCAGAGCUCCGGGACAGCCGGGACGAGUUGUUGGCCAGCCUGAUGGAGGGAGUGAAGAGCCGCCUGGACAGCAGCCUACCCCCUGUGCGCCGCUUGGGCAUGAUCGUGGCUGAGGUGGCCAGCGCCCGGAUCCACCCCGAGGGGCCUCCCCUGAAGUUCCAGUAUGAAGAGGAUGAGCUGACCCGCGAGAUGCUGGCUUUGGCCAUGCCCCGGCCCGCAGCUGACGGCCCCUCAGAGGCGGGCCCGUCUUUCGCUCCGGUCAGUGGAGAGACUCCUGACAGAGAGACUGUGGACCGCAGUGGACCCCAGACUGGGCCUGAGGGCUCCGACUCCGAGCUGGACAGCGAUGAUGAGUUUGUCCCCUACGACAUGUCGGUAGACAGGGAGCAGAGAAGCAGCAAGGCGCCCUCGUAUGUGCGGGGCUGCUUGGAAGCUCUGACUGGGUCCGAGGACUGGGAACGCUGGGAGGCGGCCCUGUGGGCCCUCGAGGGGCUGAUCUUCAGGAGCCCGGCUGCCACUCAGGAGGUGAGCGUGGAGCUGGCCAAGGUGCUGCUGCAUCUGGAGGAGAAGACAGCCGUGGUGGGGUUCGAGGGGCUGCGCCAGAGGGCCCUGGUGGCCCUCACAGUCACAGACCCGGCUCGGGUGGCGGAGUACCUGACCGCACAGUUCUACGCCCUCAACUACAGCCUCCGGCAGCGCAUGGACAUUCUGGACGUCCUGACUCUGGCCGCCCAGGAGCUGUCUCGGCCGGGGCGCCUUGGGAAGGCUCCCCAGCGGGGCUCCCCAGACCCCGGCUCCCAGCCUGGUGGUGCUGUGGUCCCGGCCUGGCGGGCGGUGGUGGAGGAGCGCGUCAGACGUAAGACCCGGCGGUUUUCCAAGGGCUCUGCAGGGUGGGCACCAGCCGUUGGCCCCAACGAAUUCAACUCGGUGGCUGGCUACUUCUUCUUCCCCCUCCUUCAACAUUUUGACAGGCCUCUAGUGACUUUCGACCUUUUGGGAGAUGACCAGUUGGUUCUUGGGAGACUGGCCCACACCUUAGGGGCCCUGAUGUACCUGGCCGUGAACACCACGGUGGCUGUGCCCAUGGGCAAGGCCCUGCUGGAGUUCGUGUGGGCCCUUCGUUUCCAUGGUGAUGCCUAUGUGCGCCAGGGCUUGCUGUCUGCUGUCUCCGCCGUCCUCCUCAGCGUUCCGGCUGAGCGGCUGCUGGCAGACCUGCUGGACGAGCUGCUGGAGGCCCGGUCCUGGCUGGGAGACGUGGCCGAGAAGGACCCAGACAAGGACUGCAGGCUGCUGGCGGUGAAGGCACUACUGCUUCUGGAGAAGCUCCGAGAUAAGCUCCUCCCGCUCUCCUCUCCUUAGCCCCCGACCCUCGGAAGGCACGUCCCACUGGAAGAGUGUGGGCUGGGGGCCAGCACGUGGGGCGGAGGUGCAGCUGGUACAGCCUGGAGUGUCUGCGGCUCAGCGAAGACUCUGCAUCAGGGCCUCGGGUUCUGCCCCCCACAGACUGGGACUGGGAUGUGGCCUCUGAGGCUUGGGCUCCAGGAUGGCUGCUCAGCCCGGUGCCUCCGUGCAGCCUGUAGACUGCAGAGCUGGGGCCACUGGGCCUGGGGGCUUCUUAGCAAUGUGCCCCCACCCCUUCCUCACCGAAAAGGCCAGGGACUUUAAGAACAACAGAAAAGGAAGAAUAAAAGAGGUGCAGGAGCUCUUUAUGGUUCUCACUCCUGCAGGGAGCCUGGUGCCCACACACGGCCCCCUGAAGGGGAGACAUGGAAAUGGGGGCAGGAAGGGGACACGGGCCUCUGAGAAAACAGACUUUAUUUGGAGAAUUUCGGCAGCUGGUGGGUGGAGCUGGGGGUGGGAAAGCAUGAGGCAGCCCCCCCGCCCCCAUCAUGGUGCUGUCCCUGAUUGGCCCCUUAUGGUGGGAGCUGGUGACGGAAAGGGCAUGGCCUAGAUGGACAGAGCCUCCUGCUGCAGCCCAGUGCCAACCGUUGUCUCCCGGUGGUCAGGACGGGGUGUCCUGUGGGAACCAGUCAGAUGCACUGCUGGGCAACCUGUGUGGGUGCCAGGAGUGGGGGGGCGGGAAUAUGGGGACACCCUCAGUUUCUUAGGCUUUACACCCUGUACUUGGGGGAAUGUCAUGGGAAAAAUGAACCAACUCCCUUGACUGCCAAGGGGCUAAAACAAAAUCCUGCAGGGGUCAGGGACUCAGAAGGGGUGGCUUAGAGACCCUCCCCCUGAUGCCCCUCGGAGGCUAGCGCAUUUUCCCACAGCUCUACCUACGGACUCAGACACAAAACUUUCACCAGGAACGUCAGGCUCCUGCUACUGAUAAUGACUGGCAAGUCCCAGAAGAGCCUGGGCAGCGGCAGGCCCUCAGGGGCCAUUCUCCACCUCCUCCAUCACCUCCUCGUCCAUCUCCUUGUGAUCCUCCAUGUUGUUGUGGCGCAUCUGCUCCGGCAUGGUGCACAUCAGAGGGAUGCCCAGGCCCUGGUGCACGGCGUCCACAGUGUGCUGGCUCACGUAGUACGACACGUUGGCGGAGGGCACUCUCUUCCGCAUCUCCUCCAGGGAGGGUCAUGUGCAAGCACAAGGAGCUGGAACAGGGCCUCACGUGGCUUCUACGGGUACACUGAGUAUCAAUUCAGAAUAUGAACAAAAUUUCCAGGAGCUUUUUGACUUUAUGAGGAAAUAAUCACAUCUUAGCAUUUCUUAAAGAUGAUAAAAUUUUAGACUGAUCUUAUUUCAGACAGAUAUAACUCUGAUAUAAACAAUAAAGAUCAUAAAGAUAAAAUAGGGUGUUUGGAGGGAUGGGGGAUGCAGCGUGCAAGUGCCCAGGAGCCCUCCAACGAUGGAAGGAGAUACCCAGGCACCAGGGACGCCCCUCGGUGUCUGCUGAGGGCCAGCUGUGAGCCGUGCUGGGCACACAGGACACAGGUACAAGGGAGGACCAAGCCAGGCCACUGGGCGCUUCGGUGAGAAGCCCGGCCCAGCAAGGGUAGAGGGAGUUGGGCAGCCGUGGGGUUUGGGUUGGAGAGCCUACGCAGAGGGGAGGGGGUGGGAGUCGGCGGGGAAGCCAGAGAGAACACCUGGGGGCGAGGAACGACACAGCCAGGCGCACUGGGGGCAAGGGAAGCAGCGUCUCCAGAAGGAGCGUCGGCAGUCUGUCAGGACUGGACUCAGGAUGGGGCCGUGAGGACCGAGCGGGAGGGACGUCCCAGGGACGGGGAGACCCUGGAGCAGCAGUGGGGGCUUCUGUGUCCCCUGCCCACACCCGGGGAGGAAACUCAUGCAGGCCUAUCCUUUCUCAAUGUAUUUAUAGAUUUUUUAAAAUUUAAAAUUACUAAAUCCUACGGGCUUCAAACAAGGCUUGAGACAACAAAGAAUUUGGUGAAAUACUUGAAAUGUGAUUUUUCUGUUAAUUUUGAGGAUUCAGUGGUCUGAGCAUCUCUGCAGUCCACGUUUGUUUUAUUCUCCAAAAAAGUGGGAACCUGUUGGGAUUCACUUUAGAGCUGUUUCCCCAACAACAAAAGGGGUCGGUGAGUGGAAGUGGCAGGGCCGGGAGGAUGUGAGCAAGUUGGCCGGGAAGUCUGAGUUCAUGGUGCUGACCCCCCAGACCUGGGCCACGGACGCUUGGCUUUCCUGGGAAUCUGGGAACUGCGCCCCGUGAGGCCAGCCUGGCCCACUGGCAACGCUUCUGAAUGAGUUGUCAAUCCUGGGUUUGCCAGCACUUGGGAAAGGAAAGCGGGGGUCCCUCGGGGUCACUGCAGCCUCACCAGGAACUACCUGCGAGGGACAGGCCGUGGGCAGAGCACGUGGACUACAGCACAGUCUGUGUGCUGUCCUUUAAAAGAUGAAGGGAAAAUGCAGCCAGGUGUGGUUCUGCUGCUGGUUUCAGAGGACGAAGACCGAAAAGAACGAGGACAGAGGCUUCUGGUGAGGGCAGGGUAACUCACAUUAGACCAGCCCCCCUCCCAAACGACAAGGACAAACUGGGCAAAAUGCAAAAGGCUCUGGAGAACAACCGUGGGCAGGGGGAGCCGACACUUGGGUGAGUUUUCUGCUUGUUGUAACUUCUGCCUCGGGGAGGCCCAGUCAGGGCCACUGGGGGAAGUAAAAGGCACAAAGAAACUGGCCAAAAGAACCAGAAUCAGAACUGCAUCCACCACAGCAGCUGGCAUGUGAGGAAAUGGUGAAGACAGUCGUGGAGCAGACAGAUUCUGAGUGUGGGCUCUGCCCUGACCUCUGCUUGACCCUGACUCUGCAUGUGGUGGGGACCAGCCACACGCCAAGGAGCCUGAGCAAAGCCACGUACUGAGCAGAGAGCCCGCUGCCCACCACGGUGGGGGGGCUUACACUCUGAGCUCGACAAAGACGGCUGCCUAAGGAAAGCAGGACAGAAAGAAGACAUAGCAGAAGCCAGGGUCUCUACAAUGUGUUAUCCACGAUGUCCGGGAUACAAAAAACUGCUGGACAUAAAAAGAAACAGGAAAACCUGACCUAUACUCAAGAGAAAAGACAAAUAAUGGAGACUAACUCAACAUGUCCAGAUGUUUGAAUUAGUGGCACAGACUUUGGAGCAGCAAUUACAACUAUGCUCAGGAGUAUAAAGUGUUCAUUCUUAAUGAAUCAACAAAUAGGAAAUUUUAGCAGAAAAUUAAAAAAAAGAACUAAGUGUAAAUUCUAGAACAGAAAAAUACAAAAUCUAAAAUGAAAAAUCUGCUGGACAGGUUAACAGCGGAUUGAAGAUAGCCAGAGAGAGUCAGUAUAUUUGAAGAUAGUUAUGUUACCUAAUUCAAGUAAUAGGAAGAAAAGAUUAAUAACAAUGAAUCAAUUACAAAUGUGUAUCCACUUAAUAUGAAAAGGCCUAACACUCAACUGGAGACCCAGAAAGAGAGAAUAAGGCAGAAAAAAAAUAUUUGAAGGAAAAAUAAUUACAGAUUUCCCAAAUACAGUCACAAAAGGAUCAAAUUUGUUUCCAAGUAACUUACCCUUAUCCCAGGAGAAAACUCAACAAUAUUGAAAAGAACACACACACAGACUCCAGCACUUGACAACCUAAAACAUUUACAGUGUCUGGAAUCCAAUAAAUAAUUGCAGACCUGCGAAGCAGGAAAAUACGAACCAUAACAAAGAGAAGAAUCGACCAAUAGGGACAACCGGAAUUGACAUGGAGCCGAGGACUUUACAGUAGUAAAUAUUUCACGUGCUCAGUAAGGCAGAGGAAAAAGUAGCAGAAUAAAGAGACACAGGAGACGGAGGGAGGAGAGCCGGUUCAGACCCACUGGAGGUGAAACUACGGAAGGAGCAAUACCAGAGCGGACUCUGCAGAAGGAAGACAGUCAACUUGCAGCAACAGCAAAGCAACCGCCCCAAAUGAAAAUAGGAAAAAUUCUGGGAAAAAGAAUCAGUUGAGCCAGGGGCCAAUAUAUACAAGUGGCUGGAGUCCAGAAGGAGGGGGAGGGCAAGGGAUGAAAGGGAACUCCCUACAGACGGGGAGAAAACACGGCAGCUCGCACAUCUGAUGCAGACAACGUCCAGGCCACACUCAAUAAGAAGACAAACACCCAAUGAAGCAAGGGGCAGUGUGAGCACUUGCAGGAGGGGACCUGAGCAGGGGCUUGCCACCAGCCACGCAGACAGGGUGUGUUACAACCACAGUGAGACACCACCACACACCUACCUACAUCGCAGCCACCACCAGCUGCGUGUCCACUCAAUACUUGGACUUUCCUGAUGAGAUCGCUGCCAACAGGAUUUCUUGUGUGUAAUGAAAUGUUUUGACAUUUGCACAACCCAGUGAACCAGUAUUUUCCAAACGACCACCAUGAUGUUACAAAAUCAUGUAUGUGUAAAAGAUGGAAGGUAGACCAACGGGUUUUAAGGUAACAAGUACAAAAAGCAUGCUGACAUGGUUUCAGAUUGCUCAUUGCAACUAACUUAGGAAACACCACUUGUGGAGUGUGGUGUGGUGUCUAAGACCCGCGAAUACUUGACAGGGCUGCUACAAGGUCCUCCCCUUCUCACCUACACAUUGGGGUGAAGCUGCGUUUUCAUCACAGAUUUCAUAUUUCAGUGAAAACUUAUUUUACCACAUUGAAUGCAGAAGCAGACAUGGAGAGUCUGGCUGUCCUGUAUUACGUCAGACAUUAAAGAGAUUUGCAACAAUGUAAAACAAAGUUACUUUUCUCACUAAAUGUCUUUGUUUUGAAAAAUACAGUUAUUUUAAAUGAAAAUGUUACUUAUGUUACCAUGUAGGGGGUUUAUUUUAUUUUUAAGUAAAUUAACAAAUAUUUUACAAAUUUAUUAGCUUAUUUUCUAAUACAGUAAAUAUUCGUAGAUAUAACCCACAUAAAGCUCUUAGGGUCCUCAAUAACUUCCCCAGCGUAAAGGGGUCCCAAGACCAAAAUGUUUGAGAACUGCUCUGUUAAACUGAAUUACCAAAACCCUUCCACAAAGAAAGCUCCAGGACCAGUGGGUUCACUUACACAUUCUAUCCUACAUUUAAGGAAGUGACACCCAUCUUACAUACACUCUCUCAACUCCAGGAGGUGGGCACCCCAAGUGUUAUUAGCAAACUGAGGAGUGAAGGGACAGGAAAGGAUGUCUGUGCCUGUCAAAUGGCUCAGAAAAUACCCAUUUUGUGUAUAAAAUAGAAAAUUUAAAACAUAGAAUGAAUACAUAAAUGUGGGAAAAUGUUAAAAAAAAUGAAUCUGGUAAAGGGUUGGGUUCUAUUAUUCUUGUAACUUCUCAGUUUGAAAUUAUUUCAAAAUAAG